rnacentral:tRNA from 1 species
GGAGGGUACAGCUCAGUGGUAGAGCGUGUGCUUAGCAUGCAUGAGGUCCUGGGUUCAAUCCCCAGCACCUCCA